CAUAUGAAUUUAUUUCGCAAGAUGUUAAAGCAAGCGAAAACAGACCAGUCAAUCGAGGGUGCUAAAUUCUAAAUCACAAACUAUUAUUGUAGCUUCACUAGGCCUAAAAACGGAUUCUUUUUCGAGGAAUCACUGUCGAUAAAUCACGGAUAAAUCGACGAAAAUUUAUUCAUGAAAAAAAAAGUUUGCAAAAUAAGUAGCUGUUUCAAUCAGUUUUGAAACUGGGAGAUUGGAAACUCCGAAAUUCGUAGAUAUCUUUCCAAUUGUCAAGUUUAUAAGGCACAAUGUCGAAGAAAGGAAGAGGAUUGUCGCUACGGAAGCUAGGCCUAACUAGUAUCUGGUCCAGACACAGCACAUGUAACAUCAAAGUUUUGGGCUCAGAAGAUGUGGGAAAGACUGCAUUGGUGGUUCGUUUUCUCACGAAGAAGUACCUCCCGGAAUAUGAACACUGUACCUCUUGUUGCUACGAACGAAACGUCAAUGUCAACGAUAAAGUUCUUCUGGUGCGAAUAACGGAUACUUCCGGAAAGGAAUCUUUCACGUCGCUAAAAUCCAAGGGCCUCCUAGAGGGUGCGGAUGGUUAUGUCGUGGUUUACUCGGUCACAGACAAACGAAGCUUUUUAAAAGCGCGAGAACUGAUAAAACUGUUGAACGAGGAUUUUGGCAAGGAGGACAAACGCCAAUGGCGCUUAUUGGAAAUAAAGAAGAUCUAGCCCACUACAGGGCGGUGUGUCCAAAGGAAGGCCAACGUGUUGCUCUUGUUUAUCCUAGAUGUUCAUUUCACGAGUGUUCUGCAGCUCGAGAAGCAAAAAAUGUAGAGUCAGCCUUUCAAGAGUUGUUGUGUCAGGUCCUCAUCAGUAAAGAACGGAGGCGACGCCUAUCGGCAUUUUCUGUACUUACUCCCAAAAUACAGAAUCCACGAAGAAAUAGCGCGGGAAAUUCAACAUUAAGUAACUGGUGGCGGAAAAAUCGGCCGAAUUCUGAACAUGAAGUCCGGCAAGAUCGAACAUUUACAAUGUAGCUAACGUGGCUUAACAUAAGGAAAACAUAUUACCGGAAGUAUUAUAUUGAAAAAAUAAAACAUACUU